AUGAUCAUGUUCUUCCUCCUUAUCGGGUUUCUUUCAAACACAUGCGUGUGCAGAGAAGUAAAUCCUGGAAACUGUGAAAAUACGAUUCUAGAAAAUUUAGCGGGUUUCAUCAAUACUUCGUCAUCUCAUUUAACAAAAGAGGUCCUAACGACAUUCUUCCUUCGUACCAAUGGAUACAUCCUGCAGCCAAGUGAUUUACCUUGCCCGAAAGAUAUCCUUCAAAGUUUAUUCUCAUACUGGGGCUCAUCAAAAUCUCAGUAUCUUUCAAUGAAAGCUAUCGAGAAAAAAUUCCAAACACUGUCCGACAAAACUUCACUAGUUAGUCACGAAACACAUGCUCACAAAAGGAGAUCUUCCUUAGCUGAACCACGUGCCUUACCUCUGAGACACAAUUUAAAAUUCGAACACCCUAUAAGUCUUCCAUUGAAUAAUGAUCAACAAUUGUCCAAAAGGCAUGAAAAUGGUCACAGUCAUGAACAUUCCCCUGAUUAUAACCAUGAACACUUUUCAAACCCUGAACAUAAUCAUGGACAUCAAGCUCAUGGACAUCCCAGUCAGUGCUUUCACUUAUUGUCACCCUUACUCAACGAACAUCGUGAACACUACAGAGAGGAAAUAGCUAAAGUCAAAUGGAAUUUGAGUGACAUUCCAAGCCUCUAUUUUAAAUCAAGGACGUCUCUCAGUAUACAGGAUUUACAAGAAAUAGCGCCCGCCCUGCUUCUAUUGCUGCUUACUGGUGAAGACAGGGUGGAGUCGCCUAAAGAUUUGCCUAGAGUAACAUAUAUACAAAGCUACGGAUUGGGUACACUUUGUGUAGUUUUCCUAAGCUUGGCUUCAGUUCUUGGAGCCAUUUUCAUUAAAAUCACCGGGACAAAGAAGAAGGCCUUCCUUUUGUCCUUUUUGUUGGCUCUUUCAGUUGGGUGUCUGCUUGGAGACGCAAUACUGCACCUUGUACCGUCUACUCUGGGAUUCCACGAGCAUGACAAUCAGGGUAAGCUGGUAAUUCUCUUGGUGACAAUGUACGGCUUCUUCCUGAUUCAGCUCCUAGUCAGCCUGUUUCACAAAAACCAUGACCAUUCCACGGCUAGAAAAGAUGAGACAGCACUAAACAAUAUUUCAACAGAAGAUAAACAAAUGGAGAGGCAGGAAUCAAAUGAAAGUCAGAAAGAUCUUACCAUCGAGGAGUGUCCUUCGGAAUCCAACGUCUCCACAGCAGAUAGAGAUCUAGUCCCCGCUGUGUGGAUGGUCAUCAUAGGCGACUGUGUUCACAACUUUGCUGAUGGUUUGGCAAUUGGUGCCACCUUCACACAGAGUCUAACAGAGGGGCUAUCCACUGCUAUUGCCGUCUUAUGCCACGAAAUACCACACGAACUUGGUGACUUUGCCAUUCUUCUGGCUGCGGGAUUCUCAGUGAAGAAGGCAAUAGUGGUCAACCUCCUCUCCAGUAUCACGGCUUUCAUUGGUCUCUACAUCGGCAUCUCCGUGGGUGAGGAGUUUAGGAUCUGGAUCAUAGCAGCGGGCGCUGGCAUGUUUCUGUAUAUCUCUAUGAUUCCUGAACUGGUUCGAAUAUUCAGAAACAACACUUGUAAAGAGAUGUUUUUCUCCCUCAACCUGGGCUAUAUCCUUGGAGUUGUCGCGAUGUUGCUGCUGGCCAUUUACGAAGAUCACUUGAAAAUUGUCUAAUGCCGGUGUUUGUGUUCCUGGUUUUGUUUGUUUUUGUUUUGUAUUUUGUCUGUUUACUCCUUAUUUAUCGUUUGUAAAUUCGUUCAAUUAUCAAUACGUUUCUGUUCAUAUUUCGGGAAUGUUGUGAGGCAAAGAACUUAUGCUGGCGGAAUAUAAAUAGGUAAAGGUUUGUAACAUGAAAACCAUAACUGCAGGUAUUACAAUUACCACACAC
rnacentral:sRNA from 1 species